CCCAAAACCUCCAGAGAUUACUCAGCAGCUGUAAACAUGCAGAUUCUUUGAAGCAGUGCCUUGUAUUAACUAAUGUGCAUUUAAUAUUCAGUGGAUAAAAGUUCUGGAUUUUUUCUAGGCUACUCACAUUCCUUGGUUCAUCACCCCCUUUCUCCAUCUCCAAAGUCGGCAAAGGACAGGGUUUCUUUGGCUUCAAGUAUUUUCUUCAGUGCCUUUCGUGGUGGAGCUGGCUGUUACCUGUUUAUAUCUAUGGUGAGACACUCUUCUUCAGAUGCUUACUUUGGUAUGGUCUUGCACAAAUCACAAAACUGUGUACUGUAGGGUUUGGAGAAGUUCAAAGUCAAAUUCUUCCCAAUUUCUUCAUCUGGAAAUGAAGGGCUGUACUAUAUGCUCUCACAUCCCUUUCAACUCUCUGAAAACAAGCACAUACUUGAUUUAUCGGUUGAGCAAUAAUUCCCAGUGCCAAGUAUGCUUUCUACUAAAAGUCCAUGGUUGUUGAAUGAAUUAUUGGAAUCGUAAAUUUAUUUAAAAUAAACACCGA